GGAGAUUUAUGGUAAAUAAAAUUUUUGGGUAAAAUAUUAAAUAAAUUAUUGUGAGAGUUAUUAUUUAUUAACUUACAUACUUAAUUUGAGGGGUUUUAUUCGAAAUAAUUUUUUUUUACAUCGUAAAGGUACACAAGAUUUUUUUUUGUCAACAGUUUGUUUUAUUAAAACAACAUCCCAAAGGUCAAGGAUACAAACAUUAUCACUACAUAUUAAUCUCAACUUGAAGCCCAUAUUUUACAGAUAAUUACAAUCAUAUGAGUGACACGUGGUCUCUCUAUGUGGCUUCCACACCUUAGUCGAGGAAGGAAAGAGCGAAGCCGGAACCAACUCGCUGGAAUGCCGAUCAUCUCCAUCUCCGACAUACUUGAGGCUGAUUGCAUGUUCUUCAACCUUGAAUCACCGCCGAUCUCGAAAUCUUCUUCUCCAAUUAUUAGGAUUGAGCACUGUGAAAAACUUUGAGAGAGCCAAACUUCGAAUCUUGUCGGAACACUGACCCUUAUGGUAGCUCAGAAUCUUUUGGAUUCUGACUUGAACUCGAAAGCAUGAUCCAAAACUCAAGACUUGAUCUUCGUGGAGACUUCGCACAAACACGAGCCAAAGCUUUAUACCACCUUCCAAUCAAGGACUAAGCUUAUCUAACGAAGAGGAAAACAAAACCAUCUCGACCAAACAGAAUAAGGUUAUACGCAGAAGGAGAAGAACUAGGACAUAACUAUAUUUAUACUCAAUUCAUAUCGGAAGAGGAUAAAAUUGAUAAUCGAUUCCGAUUUGAUUGAAUUUUACACUUCAAAAAACUCGCCAACGCGAAAGUAUAAAAUCGAUUGAAGAUCAACCGUAGUUAUUUUACAUCAAAAGAUAAGAAAACAUGAUGGUAACCGGCGGUAAGCCACCGAUCACCAGAAAUAGUUUCAUGAUUUCAAAACUUCUAGAAAGAUAUGAAGCGUCUAGAGAGAAAGGGUUGGAAUAUCUUCUUUUGGUACAUGAGAUUAUUUAUUAUUUGAAAUAAAUUUAGUUGGGAGUUUUCAGCUUUAAAAUUAAAAUAAUUAGUUGGAACAUUGAAGUCAUAAACAUCACAUAACUGAUGUGGGAGUAAUGAGGAACAAAAAGAAUUAAAAAAAAGAGAAAGAAAUAUAAAGAAAUGAAAAGAAAAAAAAUAAAAAUAAUUAAAAAUAGUUAAGACAAAAGAAAAUCUUUCAACCUUAAAAUGGCUGAUCGUGUCGAGACGGCAGCAGCACACUUGUCGUCCUUCCCAGAAGCUUCUCCGGUGUUUUCGCAGUCGCAAAUCUAAA
rnacentral:lncRNA from 1 species